rnacentral:rRNA from 1 species
CCUACGGGAGGCAGCAGUGAGGAAUAUUGGUCAAUGGACGCAAGUCUGAACCAGCCAAGCCGCGUGAGGGAUGAAGGUACUGUGUAUUGUAAACUGCUUUUGUCAGGGGAUAAAGGCGGGUACGUGUCCCUGUAUGAAUGUACCUUAAGAAAAAGCAUCGGCUAACUCCGUGCCAGCAGCCGCGGUAAUACGGAGGAUGCGAGCGUUAUCCGGAUUUAUUGGGUUUAAAGGGUGCGUAGGCGGUCUGUUAAGUUAGCGGGUAAAGCCCGGGGCUCAACUCCGGCCUUGCCGUUGAGACUGGCAGGCUAGAGAGGAAGUGCAGUAGGCGGAAUGUACGGUGUAGCGGUGAAAUGCAUAGAUAUCACGCAGAACACCGAUUGCGAAGGCAGCAUACCA